rnacentral:rRNA from 1 species
AGAGUUUGAUCAUGGCUCAGGAUGAACGCUGGCGGCGUGCCUAAUACAUGCAAGUCGAACGAGUCUUCGGACUAGUGGCGAACGGGUGAGUAACACGUUGGUACCUGCCCCGAAGUGGGGAAUAACUGCCCGAAAGGGUGGCUAAUACCGCAUAAUACCGCAAGGUUAAAGCAGUAAUGCGCUUCGGGAGGGGCCUGCGUCUGAUUAGCUAGUUGGUGGGGUAACUGCCCACCAAGGCGACGAUCAGUAGCUGGAUCGAGAGGUUGACCAGCCACACUGGGACUGAGAUACGGCCCAGACUCCUACGGGAGGCAGCAGUAAGGAAUCUUCCACAAUGGACGAAAGUCUGAUGGAGCAACGCCGCGUGCAGGAUGACGGCCUUCGGGUUGUAAACUGCUUUUAUAUGGGAAGAUUGUGACGGUACCAUAUGAAUAAGGACCGGCUAACUACGUGCCAGCAGCCGCGGUAAUACGUAGGGUCCAAGCGUUAUCCGGAAUCACUGGGCGUAAAGCGUGCGUAGGUGGUUUGUUAAGUGUGAUGUUAAAUCGUGGGGCUCAACCCCGUCGAUGCAUCACAUACUGGCAGACUAGAGGACGGCAGAGGCAAGUGGAAUUGGUAGUGUAGCAGUGAAAUGCGUAGAUAUUACCAGGAACACCAAUGGCGAAGGCAGCUUGCUGGGCCACUCCUGACACUGAGGUACGAAAGCGUGGGGAGCGAACAGGAUUAGAUACCCUAGUAGUCC